rnacentral:rRNA from 1 species
CAGUAGCCACGGGAAUACGAGGGGUGCAAGCGUUAUUCGGAUUGAUUGGGCGUAAAGGGCUCGCAGGCGGUUUCUUAAGUCUGAUGUGAAAGCCCCCGGCUCAACCGGGGAGGGUCAUUGGAAACUGGGAAACUUGAGUGCAGAAGAGGAGAGUGGAAUUCCACGUGUAGCGGUGAAAUGCGUAGGGAUGUGGAGGAACACCAGUGGCGAAGGCGACUCUCUGGUCUGUAACUGACGCUGAGGAGCGAAAGCGUGGGGAGCGAACAGGAUUAGAUACCCGCGUAGUCCCUGUCUCUUAUAC